ACUAGUAUAAAUAUAAUUAAUAAUAGAUUUUUUAAUAAGAAAGCAUAUUGUUCGAUUUUUAAACAGAAAGUAUUGAAACUCGAGCGGUGGCGGAGACGAUAAUAAAAUCGGUCAUUUCGCCGGUUAGCACGUAGUCACAGUAUUGUUUCAAAGAAUAAAAAAAGGGGCAAAGAUACAGAAGAGAAAAUACCUUUGUCACUGAAGCAGAGAUACCUACAAUUAAUUGUUGGAAGCAAGAAAAGACGAGAACUGAAUUAAACUUACAUCAAUCAAGACUGAAUUAAAAGAACUUGAAAGUAGAUAACUUUGAUAGAUUGAGUUACGAUGACAACAGAUACAAUCCACAUUUUUGACGUCGGGUUUGAGAAAAGAAGGCAAUGUUAUUAUCAUUCGAAGCCAAAAAGAUCUUUAUAAUAUUUCUAGAAAAAAGACAUCUACGUACAUGAAAACGACUGGAGAUAAUGGAUGUGUUUUUGUUUUGUAUUA
rnacentral:lncRNA from 1 species